UCGGACGUGGUGCAGCCCAGCACGGCCUCUCCUCUUGGAAAAGGUCCCUCCAAAUGAGGUGGAGGAGGCAGACUCGGGUUCGAUUCCCGGCGUUCGAA